GCAGUCGAGGGGUAGAGAUGAGCUUGCUUUUCUGAGACCGGCGCACGGGUGAGUAACGCGUAUGCAAUCUACCUUAUACAGGGGAAUAGCCCAGAGAAAUUUGGAUUAAUGCCCCAUGGUUUAUUGAGAUGGCAUCAUUUUAAUAAUAAAGAUUUAUCGGUAUAAGAUGAGCAUGCGUAUCAUUAGCUAGUUGGUGUGGUAACGGCAUACCAAGGCGACGAUGAUUAGGGGUCCUGAGAGGGAGAUCCCCCACACUGGUACUGAGACACGGACCAGACUCCUACGGGAGGCAGCAGUGAGGAAUAUUGGUCAAUGGAGGCAACUCUGAACCAGCCAUGCCGCGUGCAGGAUGACGGUCCUAUGGAUUGUAAACUGCUUUUGUACAGGAAGAAACAUUACUACGUGUAGUAACUUGACGGUACUGUAAGAAUAAGGAUCGGCUAACUCCGUGCCAGCAGCCGCGGUAAUACGGAGGAUCCGAGCGUUAUCCGGAAUUAUUGGGUUUAAAGGGUUCGUAGGCGGUUAGAUAAGUCAGUGGUGAAAUUUCCUAGCUUAACUAGGGCACUGCCAUUGAUACUGUUUAACUUGAAUAGUAUGGAAGUAACUAGAAUAUGUAGUGUAGCGGUGAAAUGCUUAGAUAUUACAUGGAAUACCAAUUGCGAAGGCAGGUUACUACGUACUUAUUGACGCUGAUGAACGAAAGCGUGGGGAGCGAACAGGAUUAGAUACCCUGGUAGUCCACGCCGUAAACGAUGGAUACUAGCUGUUCGGUCUUCGGAUUGAGUGGCUAAGCGAAAGUGAUAAGUAUCCCACCUGGGGAGUACGUUCGCAAGAAUGAAACUCAAAGGAAUUGACGGGGGCCCGCACAAGCGGUGGAGCAUGUGGUUUAAUUCGAUGAUACGCGAGGAACCUUACCAGGGCUUAAAUGUAGAUUGACAGAUUUGGAAACAGAUUUUUCUUCGGACAAUUUACAAGGUGCUGCAUGGUUGUCGUCAGCUCGUGCCGUGAGGUGUCAGGUUAAGUCCUAUAACGAGCGCAACCCCUAUUGUUAGUUGCCAUCGAGUAAUGUCGGGAACUCUAGCAAGACUGCCGGUGCAAACCGUGAGGAAGGUGGGGAUGACGUCAAAUCAUCACGGCCCUUACGUCCUGGGCUACACACGUGCUACAAUGGCAAGUACAGAAAGCAGCUACCUGGCAACAGGAUGCGAAUCUCCAAAGCUUGUCUCAGUUCGGAUUGGAGUCUGCAACUCGACUCUAUGAAGCUGGAAUCGCUAGUAAUCGGAUAUCAGCCAUGAUCCGGUGAAUACGUUCCCGGGCCUUGUACACACCGCCCGUCAAGCCAUGGAAGCUGGGGGUAC
rnacentral:rRNA from 1 species